rnacentral:rRNA from 2 species
AAACAAAAUGGAGAGUUUGAUCCUGGCUCAGGAUGAACGCUGGCGGUAUGCUUAACACAUGCAAGUCGAACGGUCUUUUAGGAGACAGUG